GAUGAACGCUGACAGAAUGCUUAACACAUGCAAGUCUACUUGAACUUCGGUUUGGGUGGCGGACGGGUGAGUAACGCGUAAAGAACUUGCCUCACAGUUAGGGACAACAUUUGGAAACGAAUGCUAAUACCUGAUAUUAUGAUUUUAGGGCAUCCUAAAAUUAUGAAAGCUAUAUGCGCUGUGAGAGAGCUUUGCGUCCCAUUAGCUAGUUGGAGAGGUAACGGCUCACCAAGGCGAUGAUGGGUAGCCGGCCUGAGAGGGUGAACGGCCACAAGGGGACUGAGACACGGCCCGUACGCCUACGGGAAGCAGCAGUGGGGAAUAUUGGACAAUGGACCAAAAGUCUGAUCCAGCAAUUCUGUUUGCACGAUGACGUUUUUCGGAAUGUAAAGUGCUUUCAGUUGGGAAGAAAAAAAUGACGGUACCAACAGAAGAAGUGACGGCUAAAUACGUG
rnacentral:rRNA from 1 species